rnacentral:rRNA from 1 species
ACGAGCGAGAGAGAGCUUGCUUUCUCGAGCGAGUGGCGAACGGGUGAGUAACGCGUGAGGAACCUGCCUCAAAGAGGGGGACAACAGUUGGAAAUGACUGCUAAUACCGCAUAAGCCCACGGGUCGGCAUCGACCAGAGGGAAAAGGAGCAAUCCGCUUUGAGAUGGCCUCGCGUCCGAUUAGCUAGUUGGUGAGGUAAUGGCCCACCAAGGCGACGAUCGGUAGCCGGACUGAGAGGUUGAACGGCCACAUUGGGACUGAGACACGGCCCAGACUCCUACGGGAGGCAGCAGUGGGGAAUAUUGCACAAUGGGGGAAACCCUGAUGCAGCGACGCCGCGUGGAGGAAGAAGGUCUUCGGAUUGUAAACUCCUGUUGUUGGGGAAGAUAAUGACGGUACCCAACAAGGAAGUGACGGCUAACUACGUGCCAGCAGCCGCGGUAAAACGUAGGUCACAAGCGUUGUCCGGAAUUACUGGGUGUAAAGGGAGCGCAGGCGGGAAGACAAGUUGGAAGUGAAAUCUAUGGGCUCAACCCAUAAACUGCUUUCAAAACUGUUUUUCUUGAGUAGUGCAGAGGUAGGCGGAAUUCCCGGUGUAGCGGUGGAAUGCGUAGAUAUCGGGAGGAACACCAGUGGCGAAGGCGGCCUACUGGGCACCAACUGACGCUGAGGCUCGAAAGUGUGGGUAGCAAACAGGAUUAGAUACCCUGGUAGUCCACACCGUAAACGAUGAUUACUAGGUGUUGGAGGAUUGACCCCUUCA